GAUGAACGCUAGCUACAGGCUUAACACAUGCAAGUCGAGGGGAAACGACAUCGAAAGCUUGCUUUUGAUGGGCGUCGACCGGCGCACGGGUGAGUAACGCGUAUCCAACCUGCCCAUCACUUGGGAAUAACCUUGCGAAAGUAAGACUAAUACCCAAUGAUAUCCCACGAAGGCAUCGGAAUGGGAUUAAAGAUUUAUCGGCGAUGGAUGAGGAUGCGUCUGAUUAGCUUGUUGGCGGGGUAACGGCCCACCAAGGCAACGAUCAGUAGGGGUUCUGAGAGGAAGGUCCCCCACAUUGGAACUGAGACACGGUCCAAACUCCUACGGGAGGCAGCAGUGAGGAAUAUUGGUCAAUGGGCGAGAGCCUGAACCAGCCAAGUAGCGUGCAGGAAGACGGCCCUAUGGGUUGUAAACUGCUUUUAUAAGGGAAUAAAGUGGGUCACGUGUGACUUUUUGCAUGUACCUUAUGAAUAAGGACCGGCUAAUUCCGUG
rnacentral:rRNA from 1 species